GAUAGAGGGGUGAGGUGAGAAAGAGGCACACAGAGGACCGAGAGAGAGAGAGAGAGAGAGAGAGAGAGAGAGAGAGUGAGUCAGUGAGGUGAGAGAAGGAAGGGAGUGGAAGUGGGAGUCUGAGUUCUGACACCACCGGAGGGAGCGGGUCCUCCUCCACAAAAGCUAGAGCCUCUCAAAGGUUUUGAUCGGAGAAAUUGGAGGAAGAUCGCGGUCGACCCACUCGGAGCGGUGGCUGUUCGACGUCGAUAAAGCAAUGGUGACGGAGGCUUCUGUGAGGGUUUACCCAGUCGGAGUUCCUCACGGUGAGGCGGUCCAGAUUUUUCAGCACCGUUAAUAUGAAAUUCCGGAUUGAGAGUUUGAGACCAAAGACCCAGUUCAAUUUACUUCACAAACUGAUACAGGAUUGGAAAAUGGGAUGAGGCGAUUGGGACAUGCCUUUUAUUCAAAGAAGAAGUUGUCCCUGUUGUUCAUGAAGAAAAAGGACCAUCAGAAGCAAACUCUUUUGCUGGCAAAUGCAUAGUUGAUCAAAACCAAUCUUCAAGCAAGCAAAACCACUUGGCUGCACUCAUAGGAUUCUUAAAUUCAGAUUGGCACCAGAUUUUGACUCUAAUACUACAUUUGCACCGACUCAGCAAGUAAAUUUGUAGAAGUUUUGUAGCAACUCCGAGAUUGAAAUGGUACGAGACUAUGAGAGUUGCGGAUUUUCAACGACCCAAACGCUCUCUGGGACGUGAUGUUCACUCACUGUUUUGGACUUUUUCUGCCCUGAUAAAUUAAUAGGGAAUUUUGAAUUUCCCGCGCUUUCUCGCUGGCUGCAAUGAAAGGAAGUUUGUGGUUAGGUAAAAUUGAACGCCUGAACGGUACCAUUGCAGCCCUGUGUGUGAUGAUCAUAAACAAGCCCAAAGCUAAUUUAGCUACUGCCCAAACCUACAAUAGCUAAUUAAAUGCAUCUCAACAAAUGUAUCCAAGUUUAAUAGAAGGAAGUGGAUGGAUUAUUUACAUAGAGUUAAUAUAUAUCCCACCAUUAAUAUUGUGAGGAUUAAUGGAAAAGAUAAGUUUCCCUUAUGAGAUAAUCGAUUUUCUUCUUUCAAACGAUUGAAAGUUAGCUCUGUGCGCAAUGAACGUGAGGAUGAAGAAGAAUAUCUGUUGCUUGAUCUUGAUUCAGUUUACUCGAAGCUUCACAUUCCACCAA